UACGUAGGCAGCAAGCGUUGUUCGGAAUUACUGGGCGUAAAGAGUGUGUAGGCGGUGCUCUAAGUCUGUUGUGAAAUCUCCCGGCUUAACUGGGAGGGUGCGGCGGAAACUGGAGUGCUCGAGGGUGGGAGAGGUAAGCGGAAUUCCUGGUGUAGCGGUGAAAUGCGUAGAUAUCAGGAGGAACACCGGUGGUGUAGACGGCUCACUGGACCGUAACUGACGCUGAGACACGAAAGCGUGGGUAGCAAACAGG
rnacentral:rRNA from 1 species